GUCACUGAACUAUGAAAAUGAGGUCAAGGACAUUGGACAUGUGACUGACGGAAAGUUCGUAACAUGAGGCAUCUAUAUACAAAGUAUGAAGCAUCUAGGUCUUCUACCUUCUAAAAUAUAAAGCUUUUAAGAAGUGAGCUAACACCGCCGCCGCCGCCGUAGCCGCCGCCGCCGGAUCACUAUCCCUAUGUCGAGCUUUCUGC
rnacentral:lncRNA from 1 species